rnacentral:rRNA from 1 species
GAUGAACGCUAGCGGCAGGCUUAACACAUGCAAGUCGGGGGGGUAUGGUUCUUCGGAACCAGAGACCGGCGCACGGGUGCGUAACGCGUAUGCAAUCUACCUUUUACAGAGGGAUAGCCCAGAGAAAUUUGGAUUAAUACCUCAUAGUAUAACAUGGCCGCAUGGUCGAGUUAUUAAAGUCACAACGGUAAAAGAUAAGC